GCAGCCUCAUACAGGUGUGUCUCCCUAUCUCCCUGUGUCUGUCUCCAAACUCCCUUCUCCUUUCCCUUCUACAAGCUCCUGGCGCUGAUCAGGACCCAUCCCCAUCUCCACCUGACUACACCUGCAAAGACCCCAUCCAGAGAUGGUCAUGUUCACACACCGGGGGUUAGGACUUGAGCAUAUCUUUUCCUGGGACACAAUUCAACCUGCAAAAGGCAUUCGGAAGCCCUCUGUUUGCAGAAUUGGAAGCAAUCGUGCAACUGUUUCUGCCCACACAGAGGAAAACAAGCCUCCGGAAUGUGUCAUCAACACAGUCUGGGUGAGAAGGGAAAGCGAGUCCUCCAGCAACACAGCUUGGGGGCCCAGGGCAGGGCUGGC
rnacentral:lncRNA from 1 species